rnacentral:rRNA from 1 species
CCUACGGGGGGCUGCAGUGAGGAAUAUUGGUCAAUGGCCGGAAGGCUGAACCAGCCAAGCCGCGUGAAGGACGCAGGUGCCAAGCAUUGUAAACUUCUUUUGUCAAGGGACAAAAUCAGGCUCGAGAGCCUGACCGAGGGUACUUGUAGGAAAAGCAUCGGCUAACUCCGUGCCAGCAGCCGCGGUAAUCCGGAGGAUGCGAGCGUUAUCCGGAUUUAUUGGGGUUAACGGGUGCGUAGGCGGACUGUUAAGUCCGCGGUAAAAGCCCGGGGCUCAACCCCGGCGAGCCGUUGAAACUGGCUGGCUUGAGAUGUCGAGAGGUAGGCGGAAUGCGCAGUGUAGCGGUGAAAUGCUUAGAUAUUGCGCAGAACUCCGAUGGCGAAGGCAGCAUACCGGCGGCGAUCUGACGCUGAGGCACGAAAGCGUGGGGAUCGAACAGGAUUAGAUACCCGAGUAGUC